ACACAGAUGAUCUCAUUGACAUCAGCUGACUAGAUGGGACCGUAUCCAGGAACAGACUCGGACGACACCUUCGACUAUCUUUUUAAGAUUGUGUUAAUUGGGGACGCCGGAGUUGGAAAGACUUGCGUUGUACAGAGGUUCAAGUCGGGAACAUACGUCGAGAAACAUGGGUCGACCAUUGGGGUGGACUUUACCAUGAAGACGUUACAGAUUGAUGGGAAGCUGAUAAAGAAGUGGUAGAGGGGGUGUUUCAAAACAGAAAAAUGGACUUUUUUCAUUCCCAUGGUCGGCAGUGGUGAAUGACUGUUGUUUGGGCACAAAGCUCCAGAUCUGGGAUACUGCCGGUCAAGAAAGGUUUCGAACCAUCACCCAAAGCUACUACCGUAGUGCCAAUGGUGUCAUAAUUGCUUAUGACAUCACCAAAAAGGGGUCCUUUGAAAGUGUGCCUCGAUGGAUUGAAGAUGUAAAAAGAUAUGCGGGACCAAACAUUGUGCAGUGUAUAAUAGGAAACAAGAAAGAUAUGGAGCACCUGCGGGAGGUGAAUUUAUCAGAGGCCAAAGCUUUUGCUCAGCAUCAUGGGAUGGUUGAUGCCAUAGAAACCAGUGCUAAAGAAAACACUAAUAUAGAAGAACUCUUUAUGGAAAUGGCGAAGGAAUUGAAGAAAAAAUAUGGCGGAGAUUCUGGCAUCGAGAACACUACUUCCUCCAGUAAAAUUCAGCUGAAUUCUCGAAGUGUUGGGGGAGGUUUCAACUGCUGUGGAAGCUAGUAUGAAAUCUACAGACUACAUUGAUUGAACCGAUGCGUAAUAUGAAUAGUGCUAACACUGAUGAGUACUGUUGAUAGCCAUAAUUUGUGCAGUUGACUGCAUUUUAGAUGAAAAUGUCUGAUUGAUGAUGUAUGCUUUAUUUUGGGGAAGGAUAUCAUGUGCACAAUUUCCUGUUUGUGCUAAGUUGUUGUGAAUGUGUUUGGCUGAUAUUCGAGUGUAAAGCUGUUCAUUCCAAAACAAUUGAAUGAUUUUUUUGUUAAGGAAAUUUGGUAUGAGGAGUAUUGCUUUGACAGGUUUUUUUUCAUUUCAUUGUAUUGAUGUUUCUUUCAUUGGAUUUCAUUAAUUACGAUCAAUUCCAAGAUACGAAAAAACUGAUAUGGCUUUUUUGUUAAAUAACUCAUCAAAGUGUAUGAUAUUUUUACGGAGUUAACGCAUAAUUAAAUACAACACAAAAUUUUUCACCCAUGAAAUUGGUGUAGGAAUUUGAAAAAAAUAUUACUAAUGUAUGACAGGUACGUUUGAGAGAAUUUUGUGGAAGAGUUUUUUCUACAAGCGUUUAUAUAUUGUAAUCUUUAAUAAGAACAAUGCAAUUUUAGAAAACUCCAUAAAUUAUAAGCAUGCCC
rnacentral:misc_RNA from 1 species